rnacentral:tRNA from 2 species
GGCGGGGUAGCAAAAUGGCAAUGCGCCGGCCUGCAAAGCUGGCUAAGUUGGUUCGAUUCCAACACCCGCCUCCA